rnacentral:misc_RNA from 1 species
AUCCUGCCCAGUCACUAUCAGAAUAUCCCUGCAGCUUGAAAUUCGGACACUUUGUAAACUUAAUGCCAUAAUCCAAAGUUCCUUUCACAUACCUUAUCACCUUUUUUGCUGCUUUCAUGUGCAUUUCACUUGCACAAUUCAAGAAGCUAGAUAGCACACUCACACUUUGCAGAAUGUCUGGUCUGGUGGUUGUGAGAUACAUGAGACAACCAAUAAUACUUCUGUAGAUUCCUUCACCUACUUUGUCUGAG